ACGCUCGACACCUACGGAGGCAGCAGUUGGGAAUAUUGGACAAUGGAGGAAACUCUGAUCCAGUGACGCCGCGUGAAGGAAGAAGGUCUUCGGAUUGUAAACUUAUUUUGUCAGGGAAGAAAAAUGACUGUACCUGAAGAAAAAGCACCGGCUAACUACGUGUCAGCAGCCGCGGUAAUCUGAGCGGGCUGGCAAGGC
rnacentral:rRNA from 1 species